CUCGUUAUUCUUGUGACAGCGAGGCACCGUCUCCUCUCCAGGUUUUUCUUGGUUGUCAGCCUCCAGCAGGUCACAGCGUGUCCGGCGCGGACUUCUCCGGGUCUGUCAGGAGUGUGCUGUGCCUCUUGAGUGUUUGCAAAAUUCUGGAAGUUUCCCGCUGUUACUUAAGUCCUUUCUUAGCGCCGGGUUCUUCUUACAGCAGGGCCUGCCUGGCCCCGCCCUCUGCCGUGCUAGCCAUUCUGCCCAUGGGCCCACCCGUGGGUGUCUCGUUUUGACGACUGUGUAUUCCAGGUCUGGAACGUCUGCCGGGCGUUCUCGAGAUCUUGCUGUCUUUGCUGGGAUGUUCCGUCUUCCUGUUGGCUUCAACAGUGCUCCUGACUGCGUGUUGGGGGGUCUUUAUAGUAGGGACUUACAAGCCUGUGUCCCGUCGGAAGAUGCCACGUCCUCCUCGUCCUGGCCUGGCCGUUGGCUGCCUUUUCCAACAGAGCUGAGCUGAGGUCUCCCGGGUCUCUGGGUGCUGAGUAACCAGGGCCUUGUUAAUCCCGCGGGGGACACGGCAUGGGCUGCAGGUGCCUGACCUCUGGUCCCAGCGCCCAUCUGUCUCUGCGACCUUUGUCCCGCUCGUCGGAGCUGCC